GACGAACGCUGGCGGCGUGCUUAACACAUGCAAGUCGAACGGAAAGGCCCUGCUUGCAGGGUGCUCGAGUGGCGAACGGGUGAGUAACACGUGGGUGAUCUGCCCCUUACUUUGGGAUAAGCCUGGGAAACUGGGUCUAAUACUGGAUAGGACCAUGCUGUAGGUGGUGUGGUGGAAAGAUUAGUUUCGGUAAGGGAUGAGCUCGCGGCCUAUCAGCUUGUUGGUGGGGUAAUGGCCUACCAAGGCGUCGACGGGUAGCCGGCCUGAGAGGGUGGACGGCCACAUUGGGACUGAGAUGCGGCCCAGACUCCUACGGGGGGCAGCAGAGGGGAAUAUUGCACAAUGGGCGCAAGCCUGAUGCAGCGACGCCGCGUGGGGGAUGACGGCCUUCGGGUUGUAAACUCCUUUCAGCCAUGACGAAGCCCUUGUGGUGACGGUAGUGGUAGAAGAAGCACCGGCUAACUACGUG
rnacentral:rRNA from 1 species